UACGUAGGGUGCAAGCGUUAUCCGGAAUUAUUGGGCGUAAAGAGCUCGUAGGCGGUUUGUCGCGUCUGCUGUGAAAACUGGGGGCUCAACCCCCCAGCCUGCAGUGGGUACGGGGCAGACUAGAGUGCGGUAGGGGGAGAUUGGAAUUCCUGGUGUAGCGGUGGAAUGCGCAGAUAUCAGGAGGAACACCGAUGGCGAAGGCAGAUCUCUGG
rnacentral:rRNA from 1 species